rnacentral:misc_RNA from 1 species
AAAAAUUAAUUUUUUUUCUUUUUUUUUUUUUUUUUUUUUUUUCUCUUUUUUCUCCCCCCCCCCCCCAAAAAAAAUAUUAAUAAAUUUUUAUAAAAAUAUUUCUAUUUCUGGGGAGGGGGGAUGGUUGUUUUUUUCUCCUUUCCCCACUAUUUUGUGUGGGGGGGGGGGGGUGGCCCCCCCCCCCUUUUUUUAAAAAAAAAAAAAAAUAUGGGGGGGGGGGUUUUUUUAAGGGGGGGGGGGGGGGGAACAAAACCCCCGGCGGGGGAGGAGAAAUUUUAAACAAAGAAAUUUGUUUUUUUUUUUUUUUUUUUUCCCCCGUUUUUUUUUUUAACCCCUGAAAUUAAAAUUUAAACAAAAAACAACCCCCCCGAAAAAAAAAAAAUUUUUGGGGGGCCCCCCCGGGCCCGGGAAGGGGCCCCCGGGGGCCGCCCCCCAAAAACAACCAAAGCCCGAAGGCCUUGAAGGUUAAAAAUGACCCCUUGAAAACCGGCAUGCCCCGGCCGAAAUAAGCGGCGGCGCAUAUUGGCUUAAAAAAGAUUUGGCUGAUUUCCAAUGAAUUUUCUGCAAUUUACACCAUCUAUCUUAUUCGCAUUUCGCUGCGUUUCUUUCAUCGAUGCCAGAACCCAAGAGAUUCCGUUGUUGAAAGUUUUGAUUAUUUGUCUUUCAGGCUCAGAGAUACCGGAAAAAAAUAAGAGUUUUGAACCUCCGGCGGGCGUGCCCGCCCGAAGCAACGACAGAGGUUAUGUUCACAGGGUUGGAGUUUUUCAACUCCAGUAAUUUCUGUAAGGGGGACCUGCGGAGGGAUCAUUACUGAGUUGAAAAACUCCAACCCCUGUGAACAUAACCUCUGUCGUUGCUUCGGCGGGCACGCCCGCCGGAGGUUCAAAACUCUUAUUUUUUCCAGUAUCUCUGAGCCUGAAAGACAAAUAAUCAAAACUUUCAACAACGGAUCUCUUGGUUCUGGCAUCGAUGAAGAACGCAGCGAAAUGCGAUAAGUAAUGUGAAUUGCAGAAUUCAGUGAAUCAUCGAAUCUUUGAACGCACAUUGCGCCCGCCCGUAUUCCGGCGGGCAUGCCUGUUCGAGCGUCAUUUCAACCCUCAAGCCUCGGCUUGGUGUUGGGGCGCCCGGGCCCUCCGCGGCCCGGGGCCCCCAAGUUCAUCGGCGGGCUCGUCGGUACACUGAGCGCAGUAAAACGCGGUAAAACGCGAACCUCGUUCGGAUCGUCCCGGCGUGCUCCAGCCGCUAAACCCCCCAAUUUUUUAAAGGUUGACCUCGGAUCAGGUAGGAAUACCCGCUGAACUUAAGCAUAUCAAUAAACGAAGAACAUUACUGAGUUGAAAAACUCCACCCUGUGAACAUAACCUCUGUCGUUGCUUCGGCGGGCACGCCCGCCGGAGGUUCAAAACUCUUAUUUUUUCCAGUAUCUCUGAGCCUGAAAGACAAAUAAUCAAAACUUUCAACAACGGGAUCUCUUGGGUUCUGGGCAUCGAUGAAGAAAGCAGCGGAAAUGCGAAUAAGAUAAUGGUGAAAUUGCAGAAAAUUACUGAAAUCAUGCAAUCUUUGGAAGCACAUUGGGGCCGCCCUUAUUUCGGGGGGGCAUGCCGGUUUCCAAGGGUCAUUUUACCCUCAAGCCCUCGGGCUUUGGUUGUUUGGGGGGGGGCCCCGGGGGCCCCUCCCGGGCCCGGGGGGCCCCCCAAAAUUUUUUUUUGGGGGGGGGCGUUGCGUAUAAACAAUAAAACAGGCGGGAAAAAAACCACGGCGGAAAAAAAGAAGAAACAACCUUCCUUUUUUUAAAAUCCCCCCCCGGGGGGGGGGUCCUCCCCGGCCAAACCCCACCCCCCACCUUUUUUUUUUUUUUUAGGGGGGGGCCCCUCCCACCCCCCGGACCAGGGAAGAGAAAAACCCCCCCCCGCCCAAUCAUAUCUUUUCCAAUUUUUUUUUAGAAGGGGGAUAAAAAAAAAAAAAAAAAAGAAAAACUUAAGGGGCCCCCUUUCCCGGGGAAGGGCCCCCGUUU